CUCAGUGGCGCGCUCCCGUGAGAGUUAGCUGUGUUCCUUUUCUUUUUUGAAGACAAAGGAAUCGUCCGGUUGGAAUAUUAUGGAAGAUUUAUGAUAAAAACAUCCUAAAGAUUGAUUCUAUACAUCGUUGGACAUGUUUCUACGAACUGUAAUAGAACUUUUUUGACUUUUCAUCUGAACUUACUGCGCGAGCACCGUGCAUUUGGAUUACUCGACUGAACACAUGAACAAAAAGGAGAAAAUUUGGCAGAACGUCCAAGUGGACUCACGAUCGCAGACCACAUGUAAUCAUGCCAGCCCAGACCUCCACAUCUCGUCUGAGACCAGCCACCCGGACAACUGAUUGGCUGGGCCUGAUUCCCCAGUGGGUGGGCCUGACUCCCCAGCUGCUCCAAUGUCAAAAGUGUCGGUCCUUAUAGAAUGCAGCAGCCAUUAUACAGAGCAUAGGGGAGUGCUGGCAUUCUGGUUGGUGGCGACGUCGGGUCCGGGGACCGCCACCGAUGGAACCGGGGGUGCCUAAGCCAGCUCGCCUGGCUGUCACGCCCUAGCUGGCUCGAGAGGUUCUUGCCCAGGUUGGCUCGGAAGGCGCCUGUCAUACGUCGGGCCUAAGCCGGAUUGUCAGGUGUCUACGCCCAGCCGGCGCAUCAAGCUGCUACGCCUCCGCUGGAUCAUCGGGCUCCCACACCUCAGUGGGAUCAACAGGCUGUCAUGCCUCAGCCGGAGCGUCAGGCUCCCACGCCUCUGCCGGUUCGUCGGGAUUUUACGCCCAGCGCCCGUGCCUCGGCCGGCCAGUCUGGCUCGCCCAGGUCGGAUGCCGGGUGGUGCCCCUGGGGGGACGGGGGGUUUGGGAGGCUACUGUCUCGCCUACUCCUGCUCUCCCAGCAUUAUGCACUCCUGCCACCAUCAGUACGCACACCUGAAUUCCCCGUCACGCGCAUCAGCGUAUUAUUGGACUCACCUGGACUCAAUCCCCUGUUUAUUACCUCUCCUAUAUUUGUCAGUUCCCCAGCUUCGUUCCCCACUGCUGAAUUAAUGUUCGUAUGUCAUUGUUACCCAUGUGCUGACGCUGUUCCUGGCAUGCUAUCUGUCUGUUCCGCAUUAAAUGUUCAACUCCCUGUACCUGC
rnacentral:lncRNA from 1 species